rnacentral:rRNA from 1 species
GAUGAACGCUGGCGGUAUGCUUAACACGUGCAAGUCGAACGGACUCUUCGGAGUUAGUGGCGGACGGGUGAGUAACGCGUGAGAAUCUGGCUUUGGGUUCGGGACAACCACUGGAAACGGUGGCUAAUACCGGAUGUGCCGAGAGGUAAAAGAGAAAUUGCCUGAAGAUGAGCUCGCGUCUGAUUAGCUAGUUGGUGAGGUAAAGGCUCACCAAGGCAGCGAUCAGUAGCUGGUCUGAGAGGAUGACCAGCCACACUGGGACUGAGACACGGCCCAGACUCCUACGGGAGGCAGCAGGGGGGAAUUGUCCGCAAUGGGCGAAAGCCUGACGGAGCAAUACCGCGUGAGGGAAGAAGGCUCUUGGGUUGUAAACCUCUUUUCUUAGGGAAGAACAAAAUGACGGUACCUAAGGAAUCAGCAUCGGCUAACUCCGUG